AAAUGAAUAGACGGGGACCCGCACAAGUAGCGGAGCAUGUGGUUUAAUUCGAAGCAACGCGAAGAACCUUACCUAAGCUUGACAUACCUAUGAAAGAAAUCGUAAAGAUGCCCCUGUACUCGUACACAUAGGAUACAGGUGGUGCAUGGUUGUCGUCAGCUCGUGUCGUGAGAUGUUGGGUUAAGUCCCGCAACGAGCGCAACCCUUGUAUCUGGUUACCAGCAUGUAAAGAUGGGAACUCCAGAUAGACAGUGGAUGACAAAUCCAAGGAAGGUGGGGAUGACGUCAAAUCAUCAUGCCCCUUAUGCUUAGGGCUACACACGUGCUACAAUGGUCGGUACAAAGAGAAGCGAAAGAGCGAUCUGAAGCAAAUCUUAAAAAAGCCGAUCCCAGUUCGGAUUGUAGGCUGCAACUCGCCUGCAUGAAGCCGGAGUUACUAGUAAUCGCAGAUCAGAAUGCUGCGGUGAAUGCGUUCCCGGGUCUUGUACACACCGCCCGU
rnacentral:rRNA from 1 species